CCUACGGGUGGCAGCAGUGGGGAAUAUUGGACAAUGGGGGGAACCCUGAUCCAGCCAUGCCGCGUGUGUGAAGAAGGCCCUCGGGUUGUAAAGCACUUUCAGUGAGGAAGAACGCCUGGUGGUUAAUACCCAUCAGGAAAGACAUCACUCACAGAAGAAGCACCGGCUAACUCCGUGCCAGCAGCCGCGGUAAUACGGAGGGUGCGAGCGUUAAUCGGAAUUACUGGGCGUAAAGCGCGCGUAGGUGGCUUGAUAAGCCGGUUGUGAAAGCCCGGGCUCAACCUGGGAACGGCAUCCGGAACUGUCAAGCUAGAGUGCAGGAGAGGAAGGUAGAAUUCCCGGUGUAGCGGUGAAAUGCGUAGAGAUCGGGAGGAAUACCAGUGGCGAAGGCGGCCUUCUGGACUGACACUGACACUGAGGUGCGAAAGCGUGGGUAGCAAACAGGAUUAGAUACCCCGGUAGUC
rnacentral:rRNA from 1 species